rnacentral:tRNA from 2 species
GCAGGUAUAGCUCAGCGGGAGAGCACUCGCCUCACACGCGAGGGGCCGUUGGUUCGAUCCCAACUACCUGCACCA